rnacentral:rRNA from 1 species
GAUGAACGCUGGCGGCGUGCCUAAUACAUGCAAGUCGAGCGAAUGGAUUAAGAGCUUGCUCUUAUGAAGUUAGCGGCGGACGGGUGAGUAACACGUGGGUAACCUGCCCAUAAGACUGGGAUAACUCCGGGAAACCGGGGCUAAUACAGGAUAAAAUUUUGAACCGCAUGGUUCGAAAUUGAAAGGCGGCUUCGGCGGUCACUUAUGGAUGGACUCGCGUCGCAUUAGCUAGUUGGUGAGGUAACGGCUCACCAAGGCAACGAUGCGUAGCCGACCUGAGAGGGUGAUCGGCCACACUGGGACUGAGACACGGCCCAGACUCCUACGGGAGGCAGCAGUAGGGAAUCUUCCGCAAUGGACGAAAGUCUGACGGAGCAACGCCGCGUGAGUGAUGAAGGCUUUCGGGUCGUAAAACUCUGUUGUUAGGGAAGAACAAGUGCUAGUUGAAUAAGCUGGCACCUUGACGGUACCUAACCAGAAAGCCACGGCUAACUACGUGCCAGCCGCCGCGGUAA